rnacentral:rRNA from 1 species
UACGGGGGGGGCAAGCGUUGUUCGGAAUUACUGGGCGUAAAGGGCUCGUAGGUGGCCAACUAAGUCAGACGUGAAAUCCCUCAGCUUAACUGGGGAACUGCGUCUGAUACUGGAUGGCUUGAGUUUGGGAGAGGGAUGCGGAAUUCCGAGGUGUAGCGGUGAAAUGCGUAGAUAUCUGGAGGAACACCGGCGGUGUAGACGGCUUUCUGGACCGUAGCUGACGCUGAGACACGAAAGCGUGGGUAGCAAACAGG